AGAGCCGUAUUUCCGGGUUGGGGCCCGGCGCGCUUGUCGAGGGAGGCUGAGCGAGCCAAUCAGAAGUGACGGGGAGGGGCCGGGGCCGGAGCGCCGAGCUGUCAUCCGCGUUCCCUGUCAGGUAAACUGAGGCUCCGUAGCCAGCGGGCCAAGGUCACGCCUGGGGCAGCAGCAAGGCUGAGCUCGAACCUACUGCCAGGACAACUUGAAUCUGAUUCACAGGUCACGAGUAAUCUGGGAGAGAAAUUGGGCUAUGAUUUGAAGCAGAAAACAAGCCGUCCUGUCACUCCUGAUGAACCUGUUUUUGCCAAUAUUUUGAUGGACGUCUUUGUGAGCUUGCUUUUUUUUUUUUUUUCCUUUCCCAGCAGGAUCUCACUAUCGAGAACAGACUGGCCUCCUACUUGCGGCAAUCCUGUCUCAGCCUCCCAGCUGCUGAAAUGACAGGAGUGCUGAGGACUUGCCUGCAUAGCAGGCAUCAUACUGAGCCAUCUCUACAGACCUUCCCCAUUUUUUUUUCAGUGUUGGGAAUUAACUCAAGACCUCACACAUGCUAGAUCAUCUCAAAAUUAAAUGUUUCUAAAUUACACCCAUA